CAGUCGCCGCGGUAAGACAGAGGAUGCAAGCGUUAUCCGGAAUGAUUGGGCGUAAAGCGAGCGCAGGCGGUUAGAUAAGUCUGAAGUUAAAGGCUGUGGCUUAACCAUAGUACGCUUUGGAAACUGUUUAACUUGAGUGCAAGAGGGGAGAGUGGAAUUCCAUGUGUAGCGGUGAAAUGCGUAGAUAUAUGGAGGAACACCGGUGGCGAAAGCGGCUCUCUGGCUUGUAACUGACGCUGAGGCUCGAAAGCGUGGGGAGCAAACAGGAUUAGAUACCCCCGUAGUCCCUGUCUCUUAUACA
rnacentral:rRNA from 1 species